rnacentral:rRNA from 1 species
UACGUAGGGGGCAAGCGUUGUCCGGAAUCAUUGGGCGUAAAGCGCGUGUAGGCGGUUCAGUAAGUCUGCUGUGAAAGUCCAGGGCUCAACCCUGGGAUGCCGGUGGAUACUGCUGGGCUAGAGUACGGAAGAGGCGAGUGGAAUUCCCGGUGUAGCGGUGAAAUGCGCAGAUAUCGGGAGGAACACCUAUUGCGAAGGCAGCUCGCUGGGACGUUACUGACGCUGAGACACGAAAGCGUGGGGAGCAAACAGG